rnacentral:lncRNA from 1 species
CCAACUAUUCAUGAGUUGCAGUUUAGAAACCCGUUAAUAGUCCAGUCAUAAAAUUAUCAUUCUCUGACUGUUUAACUUUUUAUAUACGAAUAAUUACUUUAUAUGGUAUCAAGAAAGAAAGAUAUUGUACGUGUUCAAAUCCAAACCGAUCUGAAGACACGAUCUUGUAAGUCUAAGAAUAAUAUCUACCUUUCCCCUAAAGUCAUGAUCAUAUAUGCCUCCUCUCACUUUAUAGUCCAACUGAUGCUCUCCUCUUUUUUUCUUUUUUUUUUUUUUUACUUUACAACUUUUUUCUUUUUUUUUCAAAAAAA